GUGCUCAUUUUGGCAACACAUAUACUAAAACUGGAAUGAUUCAGAGAAAACUAGCAUUGCCUCUGUGCAAGGAUGACACGCAAAUUCGUGAAACAUUCCACGUUACC
ensembl:snRNA U6 U6 spliceosomal RNA